rnacentral:snoRNA from 1 species
CAAGUGAUGAUCCACAUCCUGACACCUCUUGUCUGACGCCACUUGAGACUCACAACCCUCUGCCUGACG